rnacentral:rRNA from 1 species
AUUGAACGCUGGCGGCAGGCCUAACACAUGCAAGUCGAGCGAGCGGCGGACGGGUGAGUAAUGUAUGGGGACUGCCCGAUAGAGGGGGAUAACUACUGGAAACGGUGGCUAAUACCGCAUACUAUCGGAUCACCCAUAUGGGCUUAGCUAGUAGGUGGGGUAAAGGCUAACCUAGGCGACGAUCUCGAGCUGGUCGUAGAGGAUGAGCAGCCACACUGGAACUGAGACAUGGCCCAGACUCCUACGGAGGCAGAAGUGGGGAAUAUUGCACAAUGGGGGAAAGCCUGAUGCAGCCAUGCCGGUGGUAGGAAGAAGGCCGUAGGGCUUUAAAGUACGUUCAGCGGGGAGGCGUUACCCGCAGAAGAAGCACCGGCUAACUACGUGCCAGCAGCCGCGGUAAUAC